rnacentral:rRNA from 1 species
AGUCUGAUGUGAAAUCCCCCGGCUCAACCUGGGAACUGCAUUCGAAACUGGCAGGCUAGAGUCUUGUAGAGGGGAGUAGAAUUCCACGUGUAGCGGUGAAAUGCGUAGAGAUGUGGAGGAACACCGGUGGCGAAGGCGACCCCCUGGACUGAAACUGACGCUCAGGUGCGAAAGCGUGGGGAGCGAACAGGAUUAAAUACCCUGGUACUCCACGCCCUAAACGAUGACUACUUGGAGUUUGAGCCCCUUCCCC